rnacentral:rRNA from 1 species
UAGGGAAUCUUCGGCAAUGGACGAAAGUCUGACCGAGCAACGCCGCGUGAGUGAAGAAGGUUUUCGGAUCGUAAAACUCUGUUGUUAGAGAAGAACAAGGACGUUAGUAACUGAACGUCCCCUGACGGUAUCUAACCAGAAAGCCACGGCUAACUACGUGCCAGCAGCCGCGGUAAUACGUAGGUGGCAAGCGUUUUCCGGAAUUAUUGGGCGUAAAGCGAGCGCAGGCGGUUUCUUAAGUCUGAUGUGAAAGCCCCCGGCUCAACCGGGGGGGGUCAUUGGAAACUGGGAGACUUGAGUGCAGAAGAGGAGAGUGGAAUUCCGUGUGUAGCGGUGAAAUGCGUAGAUAUAUGGAGGACAACAGUGGCGAAGGCGGCUCUCUGGUCUGUAACUGACGCUGAGGCUCGAAAGCGUGGGGAGCAAACAGG